rnacentral:rRNA from 1 species
UACGUAGGUGACCAGCGUUGUCCGGAUUUCCUGGGCGUAAAGAGCGCGCAGGCGGUCGUUCAAGUCGAGUGUGAAAGCCCCCGGCUCAACUGGGGAGGGUCAUUCGAUACUGAUCGACUUGAAGGCAGGAGAGGGAAGCGGAAUUCCCGGUGUAGUGGUGAAAUGCGUAGAUAUCGGGAGGAACACCAGUGGCGAAGGCGGCUUCCUGGCCUGUUCUUGACGCUGAGGCGCGAAAGCUAGGGGAGCAAACGGG